UCGAUUUUUUCCCCCACUUUUGGAGGACAACUUUAUUUUAUUCACAGAACAAGAAGAGGUCAAACAACUUAAACAGAAAAUAAGACUUUGAGUCCGGUUCUGCACGUUCUCCAGGAUCUUUUCACUGAGCUGGACCCAAAAAUCAUCCGGUUCUCUGUGUGAUCCUGAAAUAUGUGAAUCUGGUCCUGUCGGUUCUGCAGGUUCUGUGCAGAAUCAGUUCUUCCCGUUCUGUGUGUCCAGCUGCAGGUUCUGCAGCUGUGUGCUGAUGUGUUCCUUUGGGAUCUGCUGCUUCUGGUUCUGCUCCUAAUGAAGAGGGAACACUGUGUUUAACUGCUGCAAAGCUGUUAAAACCAAAAAAUAAAAAAUUCCCUCAAAAAAUAAAAAAAUCCUCUAAAAUUCCUUACAUUUAUGUUGUUGUGUAUUUAGUAUAGCACACUUUUUUCCCUUUAUUUUUUUCAAGUCUUGUCCAGAAAUGUACAAAUAGAAAUAAAAAUAGAAAUAUGGACAGUCAUGCAU